rnacentral:rRNA from 1 species
GAUGAACGCUGGCGGUGUGCCUAAUACAUGCAAGUCGAGCGAAUGGAUUAAGAGCUUGCUCUUAUGAAGUUAGCGGCGGACGGGUGAGUAACACGUGGGUAACCUGCCCAUAAGACUGGGAUAACUCCGGGAAACCGGGGCUAAUACCGGAUAACAUUUUGAACCGCAUGGUUCGAAAUUGAAAGGCGGCUUCGGCUGUCACUUAUGGAUGGACCCGCGUCGCAUUAGCUAGUUGGUGAGGUAACGGCUCACCAAGGCAACGAUGCGUAGCCGACGUGAGAGGGUGAUCGGCCACACUGGGACGGAGACACGGACCAGACUCCUACGGGAGGCAGCAGUAGGGAAUCUUCCGCAAUGGACGAAAGUCUGAUGGAGCAACGCCGCGUGAGUGAUGAAGGCUUUCGGGUCGUAAAACUCUGUUGUUAGGGAAGAACAAGUGCUAGUUGAAUAAGCUGGCACCUUGACGGUACCUAACCAGAAAGCCACGGCUAACUACGUGCCAGCAGCCGCAGUAA